GACGAACGCUGGCGGCGUGCCUAAUACAUGCAAGUAGAACGCUGAAGAGAGGAGCUUGCUCUUCUUGGAUGAGUUGCGAACGGGUGAGUAACGCGUAGGUAACCUGCCUUGUAGCGGGGGAUAACUAUUGGAAACGAUAGCUAAUACCGCAUAACAAUGUAUGACACAUGUCAUUUAUUUGAAAGUGGCAAUUGCUCCACUACAAGAUGGACCUGCGUUGUAUUAGCUAGUAGGUGAGGUAAUGGCUCACCUAGGCGACGAUACAUAGCCGACCUGAGAGGAUGACCAGCCGCACUGGGACUGUGACACGGCCCAGACGGCGACGGGAGGCAGCAGUAGGGAGUCUUCGGGAAGGGGUGGAACCCUGACCGAGCAACGCCGCGGGAGUGAGGAGGGUCUUCGGAUCGUAAAGGUCUGUUGUCAGUCAAGAACGGGUGUGAGAGUGGAAAGAACACACAGUGACGGUAGCUGACCAGAAAGGAACGGCUAACUACGUG
rnacentral:rRNA from 1 species